rnacentral:lncRNA from 1 species
CCCGGGCCAGGCUGAGUCACGGGUUCGCCAAGACAGCCCACAGACUAAGCACAUUUCUUCUCUUUUCCGGUCCAUAAAAUCCCCAGAAUGGGCCCCACACAGAAACAUUGAGGAUGCCAUUGGAAUUAGUGUCAAAAGUGACUUCAAUCUGAGGAACACCUCGGGGUGCAGGAGAGAGCCCCACCUGGAAGACUCUAGGUUCUCAUCUUCAUGCCCCGAUGUAAGGAGAGUGGUCCUUCUGUACAUCAGGAGUCUGAAAUGCAUCUCACUGGGCUAAAAUCAAGAUCUGUGGCACAUGGAACCACAUGUGGGACAAGAGACUAAUAAAGAUGUGACCUACUCACAGAGGCUUCAGGUGUUUUGCGAAGUACAUUGGCUUUUAUUCAACGUGCAGUGGGACUCCAACUAAAGUGUUUCAGGAAGGCACGGCCCUUUUGUGAUCUCCUGGUUCUUGUAAAUCUCACUGUGGCUGAUGAGGUCUGGAUAGAUAAUCAUGAUGGUGGCUGAAGAGAGACAAUGGUGGUGCUAGGUUACCAGUGGCGUGGAGCUCAGAGCUAAUGCAGAGCAGCUGGAGCAGUGCUGAGUUUCAAAACGUGUUGGAAAAAAUAUUAUAUGAAUGAUGCUAUUUUUUUCACUGAAUCACAUCAAGAAGCACAUGAUGUUAAGCUGUCUCAUCAUUGGUGGUGUUAACUUGGAUCGCUUGAUUAAGGAUUUGUACCAUUUUGCUUUCCCAUUAGCAAUGUGUAGGAAUGCCUGUUUCCCUGUAGCCUCCCCAACAGCUUGUGUUAUCAAGAUUUUGGAUAUUUAACAAACUUGAAGGUGAGAAAUUACAUUUAUUAAUUUGUAUCUUAUUUUUAGUAAUGUUUAAUAAUUUAUAUGCUUCAGAUUAUUUUAUAUCUAUCUGAGAUUUAUCUAUUUAAUAUAUCUGAGAUUUAUCUAUUAAUGAUUCUUGCCCCAUUUUCCAUCAAUUUUUGGUCUUAAUUUAUUUUUCUUUUCAUAAUGUGAUUUUCCUUGAUUAUGUAUUACAAAUGUAUUCUAGUUUGUCUUUUUACUGACACUGCUUACAGUUGGCAUUGCUAUUAUUUUUGCUUUGGAAAGGUUUGCUAAAUGAAUUCAUUUUUAUUUUAGAGGAGUUAAAAUUUUCAGUGUUUUCUUUUAUUGUGUUGCAAUUUUGGAUCAUUAUUACAAAACAUUGUUUUUUAGAGCCAGAUUACAAAUUACCCCACAUUUUCUUCUAAUGCAUGUGAUGGCAGCAGCGGCCAAAUAGAGUAGCUGCUGCAAAGGUGCUAGCUGCAGUGGGGUAUGCAUGACUGGGACGGCUAACUCCGCGGAGCUGGCAGGAGCUGGGAACAGGCGGGAGCUCCACCCCCUUCCAAGUGGGUGGGGCAUGAGCUUUGUGCUUCUGGGUGCAACUGCAGCUGCCCAGCCACGACUGCGGACCCAGGCAUCCCUGUGGUCUUGGGGGCCCAGGAAGUCUCCCUGCCCCCGCAGGCUCAGAAGGGCCUCCUCCUGCUGCCUGGCCUCUCUCCACUCCCAGCAUCCACUCUGAUUUUGGAGGAAAGUUGUGGCCGAGCUCGGGCUCUGUCACGACCCGGCUGGGUGUGCGCACACUCAAGGCAGCACUGACAUGCCAGCCCCUUGCCGCCUCGGCCCCACUCCGUAAUUGGGACACUGACAAACAUGGGAGGGAGGUCAAGAGGGGGCUGAGGGCGGCUUUGUGUGAGCCUGCAGGCACCCCUUGGCACGAACAGCCUGGGCACCAUGAAUGGCAGCAGUAGGCAGACAGGCUCCUGGGCAGAAAGGGGCACGUCCCUGGUGAAACCCCACCUUCAAGCCAGGGAGGGCCUGAAGCCUGGGGGCUGGGCUGCCAGUUGCACAGACCAGAGUGAGAACUUAUGGUGCUUUUUCUGGGCCCGCCCAUGGCCACCCGUAGACCAAUCAGCACACUCUUCCUCCCCUGUGAAACCCAUAAAAACCCUCAGAGUCACCCAGAAUUGGACAGAUGACAAGACAACCGGACUGCAGGGAGGAGCUACCCAUUCAAGGUCUCCUCUCCAAUGAGGGUUGCAGAGAUGUUGGGGCAAUUUGCCUGCAGAUAGGAGCUACCCACUUGGGAUCUCCUCUCUGCCGAGGACUACACACUUGAUGGGAUGACCUGCUUGUGGAGAAGAGCUACCCACUGUGGGUCUCCUCUCAGCUGAGGGUUGCACAGAUGCCCAGACCACAUGCCUGUGGAAAGGGGAUACCCACUUUGGGUCUCCUGAGAGCUGUACUGCCACUCAAUAAAGCACUGCUUCACCUUGCUCACCCUCCAGUUGUCUGCAUACCUCAUUUUUCCUGGAUAUGGGACAAGAACUUGGGACCAGACAGACAAAUGGCAGGACUAAAAGAGCUGUAACACAAACAGGGCUGUAACCCCCACCCCAACACCACUGGCCACAUUGUGGGUGACGAGAAGGAAAGAAGUAGAGAAGAGCUGCAGUUCUUUGGGGAUUGCAAACCUAGGAGCUCCCUGAGCCAGGGCUGUGAAACCUUCUUUAGGGCUCUGCAUUUCCGGGCAUCAUCUCCAAGCUUCCAGGUGCCACCGCAUUCCCUGGUUCCUGAGGCAGAAGCUACUUGUGAUACACUUGGUCUAGCUACAGCCUUGCAGGGAGCCGGAGCCUGUGCCAGUGCCUGGAGCUGCCCACCCCACCACAGCCAGCGUGCCUGGCCGUGCGCGGUGGCCGGACCCCACUUUUGCUUCUUCACACACCCCUCACCACUCUGCGCUUGGCCCAACCUUGGCAGGCAUGGGAUCCGGGUGGUAGCGAAAGCCGAGUGCAGCCUGUCAGGCCCACUGGGUGGAACAGGCUCAGCAGGCCCAAGCAAAACUUGGGCAAAGGUGCCACUGGCCAUAGAGGUUGCUGGCUGGUGAAGCAACACCCUAAGGAACCUGGGAAACAUGUAUGGCUACAUUUAUAUUUUACACUCAGAAUUCUAAUUCAUUUGGAUUUUUUUUUUUUUCUGUGUAGAGGGAAAAGUGUGAAUCCAUUUUUAUCAUUAUCUAAAUGACUGUUCAGUUGUUCCAACAUGCUUUGAUAAAAUGUCCAUAUUUGUCUCUGUGAUUUGAAAUGACUACCUUUAUCGUGUAGUAAAUUUUACUAUGUUCUUGGCUGUUGUAUUUUCUAUUAUAUUCCACUGGUCUGUUAUUUCUUUACCAGUAUAAAUAACAUGGAUUCAAUUGCAGAAACUUUAUAGUAUGUUUUAAAAUCUGGUGGCACUAUUCCUUUCCUGUUGCUCUUAUUUUUAUGGGUUGUCCUACGUGUUCAUGCAUAUUAUUUUUCACAUGAACAACUCCACAAUAGUUGGAGAAAAAAAAUCUUCCUGGUAUUUUAUUAGAGUUGCAUUAAAUUUAUGCAUAAACUAAGAGAUAAGAGAGACAUAACAUCUUGUUGACAUUGACACAUCAUAAUCAAGAACAAGCAAUGUCAUUUCAUUUUUGCACAUCUUCCUUUUUGUCUUCCAGGAGAUGCUAAUCAUUUUCCUUAUAUAGUUUUUAAAUCGUCUUCCCUUAGUAUUACGUAGAUUGUCAUUAUUUUAAAGGCUAAUUCUGACAGCUUCAUUAUUUGGCAUCUUUGUAUUGUGCAUAUUUUUUCUUGAUUUUAGAUCAUUUGAUCUUGAGUCCUAGUGUGUUGGUUA